rnacentral:rRNA from 1 species
UAGUCCACGCCGUAAACGAUGAGUGCUAGCUGUCGGGACCAUAGGUUUCGGUGGCGUCGCUAACGCAUUAAGCACUCCGCCUGGGGAGUACGGUCGCAAGAUUAAAACUCAAAGGAAUUGACGGGGACCCGCACAAGCGGUGGAGCAUGUGGUUUAAUUCGAGGCAACGCGAAGAACCUUACCAGCCCUUGACAUACUGGUCGCGGAUUUCAGAGAUGAUUUCCUUCAGCUUGGCUGGACCAUGUACAGGUGCUGCACGGCUGUCGUCAGCUCGUGUCGUGAGAUGUUGGGUUAAGUCCCGCAACGAGCGCAACCCUCAUCCUUAGUUGCUAACAUUUAGUUGAGAACUCUAAGGAAACUGCCGGUGAUAAACCGGAGGAAGGUGGGGAUGACGUCAAGUCUUCAUGGCCCUUAUGGGCUGGGCUACACACGUGCUACAAUGGCGGUGACAAUGGGCAGCGAACUCGCGAGAGUGAGCUAAUCCCCAAAAGCCGUCUCAGUUCGG